UCGAGAAUAAUUGUCAAUGCACGAAAGUGUGAACAUGCAAUGCCGCGUGCAGGAUGAAGGCCCUCGGGUCGUAAACUGCUUUUCUACGGGAAGAACUACGGUGACGGUACCGUGGGAAUAAGAGGUUACUAACUCUGUGCCAGCAGUAGCGGUAAUACAGAGACCUCAAGCGUUAUCCGGAUUUAUUGGGCGUAAAGGGUGCGUAGGCGGAUCUAUUAGUCAGAUGUCAAAUCCUUCGGCUCAACCGAAGAACCGCAUUUGAAACGGUAGGUCUUGAGAAUGUGAGAGAUCAGUGGAAUUCAUGGUGUAGUAGUGAAAUGCGUUGAUAUCAUGAAGAACAUCCAAGGCGAAGGCAGCUGAUUGGCACAUUUCUGACGCUGAGGCACGAAAGCGUGGGGAG
rnacentral:rRNA from 1 species